rnacentral:rRNA from 1 species
CACGUAGGGCGCAACCGUUGUUCGGAUUCAUUGGGCGUAAAGGGUGCGUAGGCGGUCGCGCAAGUCGGAUGUGAAAUCUCAGGGCUCAACCCUGAAACUGCAUUCGAUACUGCGUGGCUAGAGUGCUGGAGAGGAGACUGGAAUUUACGGUGUAGCAGUGAAAUGCGUAGAUAUCGUAAGGAAGACCAGUGGCGAAGGCGAGUCUCUGGACAGCAACUGACGCUCAGACGCGAAAGCUAGGGGAGCAAACGGG